rnacentral:tRNA from 1 species
GCUGAUAUGGCUCAAUGGUAGAGCAGCUGAUUUGUAAUCAGCAGGUUGUAGGUUCAAGUCCUAUUAUCAGCUCCA